rnacentral:rRNA from 1 species
UACGUAGGGUGCGAGCGUUGUCCGGAAUUACUGGGCGUAAAGAGCUCGUAGGCGGCUUGUCGCGUUGUUCGUGAAAAUUUACCGCUCAACGGUGAACUUGCGGGCGAUACGGGUAGGCUAGAGUACUGCAGGGGAGACUGGAAUUCCUGGUGUAGCGGUGAAAUGCGCAGAUAUCAGGAGGAACACCGGUGGCGAAGGCGGUUCUCGUGGGCAUUACCUGACGCUGAGGAGCGAAAGUGUGGGGAGCGAACAGG